rnacentral:rRNA from 1 species
GAACUUUCCAGAGAUGGAUUGGUGCCUUCGGGAACUGUGAGACAGGUGCUGCAUGGCUGUCGUCAGCUCGUGUUGUGAAAUGUUGGGUUAAGUCCCGCAACGAGCGCAACCCUUAUCCUUUGUUGCCAGCGAUUAGGUCGGGAACUCAAAGGAGACUGCCAGUGAUAAACUGGAGGAAGGUGGGGAUGACGUCAAGUCAUCAUGGCCCUUACGACCAGGGCUACACACGUGCUACAAUGGCGCAUACAAAGAGAAGCGACCUCGCGAGAGCAAGCGGACCUCAUAAAGUGCGUCGUAGUCCGGAUUGGAGUCUGCAACUCGACUCCAUGAAGUCGGAAUCGCUAGUAAUCGUGGAUCAGAAUGCCACGGUGAAUACGUUCCCGGGCCUUGUACACACCGCCCGUCACACCAUGGGAGUGGGUUGCAAAAGAAGUAGGUAGCUUAACCUUCGGGAGGGCGCUUACCACUUUGUGAUUCAUGACUGGGGUGAAGUCGUAACAAGGUAACCGUAGGGGAACCUGCG